AUAUCCACAACUCAUUUGCUGGCUACAAGAACUGAAUAUAGAGUAGUGGUUUAAUAAUGGUUUUAGAAUGUAAAUGAUCGCAGAAGCAACAUGGAAUUCAAUAGUUGAUAUUUUGACUAUAAUUACUUUUUGACACUAACGACUUGCCACUGGUAGCUUCUUAAGCGGAAGAUCCUAUUCAAUUCCUUAUCUCAUUGUUGGAUUUGCCAUUCAAUUCCUUAUCUUACUUUUGUAUUUUUCAUGGAGUUUGGGUGCACAAUUACAAGGAGAGAAAGAGAGGGUGGGUGCAGUCAUUUUCUCUUUCUAUAUCUUUCCUUUCCCAAUUUGCGUCUCUGGUUGUUGGCGUUCGUCUUCCUCCUCAAGGUUUGAUUAUAUUGGGGUUGAAUUCUAAAGUGAGGGUGUGGGGGAAUAAGGGUGCAAGGGAAUAAGGGUGCAGGAUGUGCGCGUAGGGUGCAGGGGUUUCAGGGGUGGUAGGGGGUGGGGUGCGCCUGUGAAUUGCGGAGCUGCUCAGCUCUUCCUCUAUAAGAUGAGUUUCAUCCCUGCCUUAAUUCACUUAAAUCCUGUGAUUUCAUGCCUUUUUUUGUUCUGAUUCUGAGAGCAUGUUUCAGAUGGUGGUUUAAAUUUUUGCUUUGUUCUGCCUCUAGACAGCCGCCACCACCACUUUGUCCAAAUCUGAUGGCUCAGGCUGUAGCAUCUGCGUGAAUCUCCCCGUACAAUUGGACUCCGCAAUGUUUUCCAAAUAAACUCCAAACUCCGAAGGUGCAGCUGAAAAGUUAGAAUCUGAGGCAAUCAAAUCCAAUCCAGGGAAGAGAUUGGAUAGCUUCUGAGGUGUGGCUAUGAUCUGCUCCGACAAUUCCAAAUGGAGAUGAUACUGAAGAAGAUUUGCAGAGCGGUUUGGGAUAUCUGUGCAGCUCACAUAAGAAGAGAAUUACAACUCUCGGGCUGAGAGGUAACUGGGAUUUGUUCUUCUGGGUCAGUUUUUAAGCUGCCAAUGCCUAAACCUCCAACAAAAUGGAAACUUUUUCCAAAACAAAAGGUUGAACAAAAAUAUCUCCAGGAUCCCCAUUUUUUUAAUGGCGCUGUUAAGGUUUUUGUCAAUUGUUAUUUACAAAGGUUGUGACUCUUCGUGCUGGCACCAAAAUAAAGUUUGUAGAAGGUUGUUUACUGACGAUAAAAGGAUUGGAGGGGAUUGGGAGGCAGAUGAGUGAGACUUCUGAUGGAUACACAGAAAUAAAUGGUCUCUCACAUCUUGAACCAAAUUACUCUGGGUUUUUGGCAGGUAUGAAUGAUUCCAGCCUUUUUUUUUUUUUAAUAGAUGAGCUAUGCUUUCCAUAUCAAUCAGAAUAUUCUGUUAUUAGAAGCAAUUACAUAAAGUUAGGCCAACUAAAAUGGCUGGACAGAAAAAAUGUCCUAAUUGUUCACUCUAAUGAUGUUGGCAAGUAACGUUGAUUGUUAUAAACGUUGGCGGUCCUUCUGUUUUUCACAAUGUAAGCCCAAGAUUAUACGAUGGUACUCAAUUUGGAUUUGUUGCUUCUUCUAUUUCUCAAGGAAACAGAACUUUUUUGGAAACCAUCUCUUUCUAAUCAAAGACGUUCAAUUUCUUCCCACUCAUUGUACAAUGUGUUUAUAAUUGUGUUGAAUUUAUUCAAAUUAAAUGUGUUUUAUUCAUCCGAUUACAUCUGAAACAACAUGUUCCCGCAGCAACGCGCGGGCAUAUUUUCUCGUAUAUACUAAAACUCAGUUGAGUUUUAGCACUGUUCAGAAAUAGUAAAAGGGCGGAUUUGCCCUUCAUUAGCUAUCCAUUCUAAGCUUUUUAUUGUGAGUUACACAGUUAAAUUACUAAUAUACCACUCCUAUACACGUGUUGCUCAUCGUGUAAGGGAAGAGGGUUGGAAAUGCAGGGGCUCUUUCAUUUGCUUCCAGAACAGAUUUUCUAGCUCUCCCCCCUCGCCACUUCCUCCACGACAACAACGCCUUCAGCCAUUCUCCUUACACUGUGACAACUUCCUUGCCGAUUCGAGCUGCUCGACCACCAUCAACGCCUCCUCAACACGCUUUUCUGAAUUGCUUUACAUCGGCCUUCACCAUUGGCAUAUACCUCGCGACCUCAUCAUCAUGUACUCAAGAAAAAAUCUGAAUCUAUCGCUCUCGAACUCGCCUCAGCCGCAAGUUCAGCGUUGACCGUUAUUUCUCCUCCUUGGCUUCUGUUUCUGUCUCUGACCCGUUCAACUUCAAUUGAGCUUGAAUUGAGAAACAGAAAGUUGGAGGACUGGAUGAUCAAGUAUUAACCCAUUUUAAAAGAAAAGGUUGUACCCAGUGCACAAGGCUCCCGCUUUACGCAGGGUUUGGGAGAGGUGAAUGUCGGCUAGCCUUACCCCCAUUUAUGGAGAGGCUGCUCCCAAGUCUCGAACCCGAGACCUACCGCUCAUGGGCGAAGGCACUUGCCAUUGCACCAAGUGCGACCUCAUUUUAAAAGAAAAGAGUUGUAUUAAUUUGCGUUUGAUUGGAAGGGUUGCAGAGAUUUGAUUCAAAUUGGUGGAUUUGGGUCAACAUGACUGAACAUAUUAGCAGACUUGCAGUCAUUGCAUACAUGGAAUACAAGGAGGUUUGCAAUUGAGCUUUGGUUUUAGUGACUUCUUAAAUUUGGUCAUGACUAAACCCUUUUUUUUUUAACUCUACUUAAAUCGUUUUCGGGGAACCAGUCAUUUGUGUUGUUUCUUCUCUCAACUCUUCGCUUUUAGUUGUCUAACUGUUGGAGUAUGGAUCUUGAUUGAAUUGAUUGUUUUAAUCUAAACUAUUGGUAGUGAUCUUUUAUUUAAUUUAUCAUAUUAUUGAAAGAAUCGCUUAGUACAAUCAGGUUUUAAAAAAAACUUAAUAUCA